rnacentral:rRNA from 1 species
AGAGUUUGAUCCUGGCUCAGGAUGAACGCUGGCGGCGUGCUUAACACAUGCAAGUCGAACGAAGCGCUUUAUUUGAUUUUCUUCGGAAAUGAAGAUUUUGCGACUGAGUGGCGGACGGGUGAGUAACGCGUGGGUAACCUGCCUCAUACAGGGGGAUAACAGUUGGAAACGACUGCUAAUACCGCAUAAGCGCACAGUAUCGCAUGAUACAGUGUGAAAAACUCCGGCGGUAUGAGAUGGACCCGCGUCUGAUUAGCCAGUUGGCGGGGUAACGGCCCACCAAAGCAACGAUCAGUAGCUGACCUGAGAGGGUGACCGGCCACAUUGGGACUGAGACACGGCCCAAACUUCUACGGGAGGCAGCAGUGGGGAAUAUUGCACAAUGGGGGAAACCCUGAUGCAGCGACGCCGCGUGAGCGAAGAAGUAUUUCGGUAUGUAAAGCUCUAUCAGCAGGGAAGAAGAAUGACGGUACCUGACUAAGAAGCACCGGCUAAAUACGUGCCAGCAGCCGCGGUAAUACGUAUGGUGCAAGCGUUAUCCGGAUUUACUGGGUGUAAAGGGAGCGCAGGCGGUGCGGCAAGUCUGAUGUGAAAGCCCGGGGCUCAACCCCGGUACUGCAUUGGAAACUGUCGUACUAGAGUGUCGGAGGGGUAAGCGGAAUUCCUAGUGUAGCGGUGAAAUGCGUAGAUAUUAGGAGGAACACCAGUGGCGAAGGCGGCUUACUGGGCACCAACUGACGCUGAGGCUCGAAAGUGUGGGUAGCAAACAGGAUUAGAUACCCUGGUAGUCCUACACUGUAAACGAUGAUUACUAGUGUAUGGAGGAUUGACCCCUCCAGUACUGCAGUUAACGCAUUAAGCAUUCCCCAUGGGGGAUUACGUUUGCACGAAUGAAACUCAAAGGAAUUGACGGGGACACCGCACAAGCGGUGGAGCAUGUGGUUUAAAUUAGAAGCAACGCGAAGAACCUUAACAGGUCUUGACAUCCCGAUGACCGGCCCGUAACGGGGGCCUUCUCUUUAGAAACAAUAGGAGACAGGUGGUUGCAUGGUUGUCGUCAGCUCGUGUCGUGAGAUGUUGGGUUAAAGUCCCGCAACGAGCGCAACCCUAUAUCCUCAGUAGCCAGCAGGUAAAAGCUGGGCACUCUGUGGAGACUGCCAGGGAUAACCUGGAGGAAGGUGGGGAUGACGUCAAAUCAUCAUGCCCCUUAUGAUCUGGGCUACGCACGUGCUACAAUGGCGUAAACAAAGGGAGGCAAAGCCGCGAGGUGGAGCAAGUCCCAAAAAUAACGUCUCAGUUCGGACUGCAGUCUGCACCUCGCCUGCACGAAGCUGGAAUCGCUAGUAAUCGCGAAUCAGAAUGUCGCGGUGAAUACGUUCCCGGGUCUUGCACACACCGCCCGUCA